CCUACGGGAGGCAGCAGUGGGGAAUAUUGGACAAUGGGGGGAACCCUGAUCCAGCCAUGCCGCGUGUGUGAAGAAGGCCCUCGGGUUGUAAAGCACUUUCAGUGAGGAAGAACGCCUGGUGGUUAAUACCCAUCAGGAAAGACAUCACUCACAGAAGAAGCACCGGCUAACUCCGUGCCAGCAGCCGCGGUAAUACGGAGGGUGCGAGCGUUAAUCGGAAUUACUGGGCGUAAAGCGCGCGUAGGUGGCUUGAUAAGCCGGUUGUGAAAGCCCCGGGCUCAACCUGGGAACGGCAUCCGGAACUGUCAAGCUAGAGUGCAGGAGAGGAAGGUAGAAUUCACGGUGUAGCGGUGAAAUGCGUAGAGAUCGGGAGGAAUACCAGUGGCGAAGGCGGCCUUCUGGACUGACACUGACACUGAGGUGCGAAAGCGUGGGUAGCAAACAGGAUUAGAUACCCCAGUAGUC
rnacentral:rRNA from 1 species